UUCAUCCUUGUCUGGGAGAGCAUAAUGUCCAAUGAACGUAUUGUGAGGGCAUUGAUGCUGACACCCAAAUAAUUAAACUCGCACCCUAACCAAUUUAAAUUGGUAUAGAGUGCAAUUUUUGAAAUC